rnacentral:rRNA from 1 species
UAGUAGGUCUGGCCUGCCCAGUGAUAAAAUUUAACGGCCGCGGUAUAUUGACUGUGCAAAGGUAGCAUAAUCAUUAGUCUUUUAAUAGAAGGCUGGAAUGAAAGGUUUAACGAGAAAUUAACUGUCUCAAUUACAAAUUUGAAUUUAUCUUUUGAGUCAAAAGACUUAAAUAUCAUUGUGGGACGAGAAGACCCUAUAGAGCUUAACAAUUUUUUUUUUAUAUUUAUUUAGUUAAAUUAUUUAUAUAUAUUGAGAAAAUUGUUUUGUUGGGGUGACAAUAAAUAUAUAUUUAACUUUUAUCAUAAUAUAAACAUUAAUUUAUGAUUUUUGGAUCCAAAAAUUUUGAUCAAUAGAUUAAGUUACCUUAGGGAUAACAGCGUAAUCUUCCCUCAGAGUUCAUAUCUACGGGAAGGCUUGCGACCUCG